GACGAACGCUGGCGGCGUGCUUAACACAUGCAAGUCGAACGGAAAGGCCCUGCUUUUGUGGGGUGCUCGAGUGGCGAACGGGUGAGCAACACGUGAGUAACCUGCCCUUGACUUUGGGAUAACUUCAGGAAACUGGGGCUAAUACCGGAUAGGAGCUCCUGCUGCAUGGUGGGGGUUGGAAAGUUUCGGCGGUUGGGGAUGGACUCGCGGCUUAUCAGCUUGUUGGUGGGGUAGUGGCUUACCAAGGCUUUGACGGGUAGCCGGCCUGGGAGGGUGACCGGCCACAUUGGGACUGAGGUACGGCCCAGACUCCUACGGGAGGCAGCAGUGGGGAAUAUUGCACAAUGGGCGGAAGCCUGAUGCAGCAACGCCGCGUGCGGGAUGACGGCCUUCGGGUUGUAAACCGCUUUCGCCUGUGACGAAGCGUGAGUGACGGUAAUGGGUAAAGAAGCACCGGCUAACUACGUG
rnacentral:rRNA from 1 species